CUACGGGGUGCUCCAGUGAGGAAUAUUACACAAUGGGGGGAACCCUGAUGCAGCAACGCCGCGUGGAGGAUGACGCAUUUCGGUGUGUAAACUCCUUUUAUAUGUCAAGAAAAUGACGGUAGCAUAUGAAUAAGCACCGGCUAACUCCGUGCCAGCAGCCGCGGUAAUACGGAGGGUGCAAGCGUUACUCGGAAUCACUGGGCGUAAAGGACGCGUAGGCGGGUUGGCAAGUCAGGUGUGAAAUCCUACAGCUUAACUGUAGAACUGCACUUGAAACUUCUAAUCUAGAGUAUGGGAGGGGGAGAUGGAAUUAGUGGUGUAGGGGUAAAAUCCGUAGAUAUCACUAGGAAUACCUAAAGCGAAGGCGAUCUCCUGGAACAUUACUGACGCUAAGGCGCGAAAGCGUGGGGAGCAAACAGGAUUAGAUACCCCAGUAGUC
rnacentral:rRNA from 1 species